rnacentral:misc_RNA from 1 species
AUCCUCAAAAUAUAAAAAAAGUACCUUAGAGACUUUUUUCUUAUUAACUAUGUAACUCUUAACUUGGAAUUUUCCUUUGCUUCUUAGAAUUAUAUUAACACAUUACUAAAAAAUUACUUAUUUAUUGAGACAAUACCUAGGAAGGGUUGAUUUGAAGAUGAGGAAUUACCGCAUUCACUUGCUUUCUUCCUUUCUGUCUUUAGCUUAGUACAAUAGAAAACUUUUUUAUUUUCAUUGUUUGGAAGUUUUUCAACAAAUGAAAUAUUUUUCAAUUGAUAUCAGAUCUAAAACCUAAGUCUAAAGUCUAAGUAAAGUAUCUUAUUAGAAAAUUUUUUAAAAUGUAAAAAAAUUUAAACAAAACAAAUGAAAUUACUAGAUUUCAUUUAUUCUCAUUAAAUAUAUAAAAUAAAGGGGAAAUAAAAAAAAAAAAAAUAAAUUGAUCAAAAAAAAGGGCGAUCGGAGUGAUACAAAAAAAACUCUGUUCUUUGUUAGUCCUAUCCAAAAAAAAAAAGAGGAAAAUAU